rnacentral:sRNA from 1 species
AAACAUUGGAAGUUCUUACUUCACACAAAGAUUGCUUAUGACCUAAGGGUGUGUCAUGACCUUGACCCAAGGUCAUUCGGGCAAGGUCAAGGUCACUGGCAGAAAAAGUGCAAAAUUCGUGUCCGGUCCAUAUCUUUCUUAUGGAGAAACAUUGGAAGUUCUUACUUCACACAAAGAUUGCUUAUGACCUAAGGGUGUGUCAUGACCUUGACCCAAGGUCAUUCGGGCAAGGUCAAGGUCACUGGCAGAAAAAGUGCAAAAUUUGUGUCCGGUCCAUAUCUUUCUUAUGGAGAAACAUUGGAAGUUCUUACUUCACACAAAGAUUGCUUAUGAUUAAAGAGUGUGUCAUGACCUUGACCCAAGGUCAAUUUAGAAAGUUCAAGGUCAUUGUUUCAAAAAAGCUAAAUUCUGUCUGUGUCAUGUCUUGUAUUAAUGGAAAUAUUAGAAGCUAAAAAUUAACAGUUUUCAAAAAUAAAGCAGUUGUUAUGUAUAGAAAAUGGACACUGAAAUAAAUUCAUCCAAUAUUUUCUAUAAUAGCAAAAAUACAUGCAUUAUGAUUUUUUUCUUAGCGGGGGGUAUCAAUUGUGAGCUUGCUCACAGUACCUCUAGUUUAUAUUAUACUUAAACCAUUUUUAAGUUACAUGUAUGUACCGAUACUUGUGUUAAGUUACAUGUAUGCUACUACACUGUAACAGCAUGUAUUGGGUAGUAUUUUUAUUUUUAUAAAAUACAAACAAUCCCUUUGUCAAACAUUUAUGAAAUCCAACAUAUACCUUUUAUUUUCGAAGGUAAUCUUGUUCAAGAACAAUGAAUCUGUCUGAAAUUGAGACCCCCCCCUCCAAAAAAAAAUCCUCAAAACAUACUGGGUUCCUGGAAGCAAGCUAAUAGGGAAUAAUUCAGAAAAUAGAUAUAACUAAAUAAUUAAAUUGAGAGGUAUGCCUAAAUAAAUAUAUCAGCUUUCUACAUGUAGAUGUUGAAGUUAUGAAGUUAAAUAAGUUUGAAGUUAUCAUAAAUGAUCAAGCGAUUUUUAAUCCUAUUCAUUCAAUAAAAAAAAGAAAAGAUAACUCUAAUAGUACUAAAAAUAACUGAAUUAUAUUUACACUAUUCAAAGGCGAAAAUGUGUUAUAGGGUCGAUCGGGGUACAAUUUAUUGAUAAACAUUCUAAACUGUGUGAAAUAAAGCAUGCUAAGUAUGGAUCAAUAUACAAACGACUUAUUUUCAAGUACAUGUAUCUGUCAUAGUAGACCGUGAAUUCAUACACGCUUGUACUCAAUCUUACUUAAUAUAUUUAAUAACAUGGUUACAUGUGUGACUGAGUCUCCGUGCAAGCAGUUCUAUCUGGUGCAUGUCAUUACGCCAUUACUUCAUUAUACUUCUGUUGUGUCAAUUGUUUUUAAAAGAUUUGUUUUUAAAAUUCUCCUUGAAGUGCUGAUCAUAUAAUGAGUCUUCCUAGAAUUCAGGCUAUAAAUAUUUCAUUUUAAUUUACUCGAAGAGAACUGUUUGUUUUAAACGUAUAAUUUUGAAUUCAUUGUAUGCCUUCAAUGAACAGCACUAAAACUUAGGCUUUAGGUUGAUUUUCCAAAUGUAAAGUAAAUUUAUAUGGAAAAUUCUAUACGCUGCUGUCCGGACUAAAAUGUUCUGUAAGACUAUUACUGAAGUAUAGCCUACUCGUAGUUGGUAUAUCUAAAUUAACGAAUUAUGUAAGUUCUCACAUUGUUUAUAUAUUGUUUUCAAUUUCUUAAAAUCGACUUAUUGUUGAAAAAAUUAUUCAGAGAAAAUGUGUUUUCCGUUGGUAUGUCAUCUCCACAAGCCAUGCAACGGUUUUCAGUCCACUCGGCUCGAAAUGGACCGAAAAUCCUUGUCUUGUGAAGACGUAUUUAUGUAAAUUGUAGAUUGACCACUCCUUAAAAAAAAUAAAGGAUGGUGUUUGUGCCUUGGAAGAAGUAAGUAUUUCCUAUAAACUAAUAUACAUUGUCUGAGGUAUGUUACAACGCACUUUGAAAAAUUACGCACUUCGAAUUUUUUUUUCAAAGUACGUUAAAUUUGGGACCAAGUCAACGCAUUCUGAAUUUUUUUUUUUUUAAAGUGCGUUGAUAUCGUCGAUAUUAACGCACUUUGAACAAAAUGUUCAUGGUUUAGUGAAAAUAGUUGAUAGUUUUAUAUACAAUAAAUGAUUGUUUUAACCU